UACGUAGGGUGCAAGCGUUGUCCGGAAUUAUUGGGCGUAAAGAGCUCGUAGGCGGUCUGUUGCGUCGGCUGUGAAAACCCGGGGCUCAACUCCGGGCCUGCAGCCGAUACGGCAGACUAGAGUUCGGCAGGGGAGACUGGAAUUCCUGGUGUAGCGGUGAAAUGCGCAGAUAUCAGGAGGAACACCGGUGGCGAAGGCGGGUCUCUGGGCCGAUACUGACGCUGAGGAGCGAAAGCGUGGGAGCGAACAGG
rnacentral:rRNA from 1 species